CGACAAUGGACGUUGAGGCUGUGAUUGUUUCCCACAGUCCUCUCUUUGCUCGACGACAAAUUUGACAGCAACCCUUGAGCACUGUAUUCGGUUCCCCAAAGCCCGCCCCACCAUUUACUAGCGGUACUACUCUUUGUCCUGGCUGUCACCGCGUCUGAUGAAAAACUAUCCCUGCCAAGGACGUGCCCUUGCUCGGCGUGUUUCAAUUGCUGAGACGACGCUGCGUUCAACAAAACUUUACUGAGAAAACCGGUUGCGAGGUAUCCUACCGGAGUUUGCCUUAAAUCGUGUGGAGUCGGUGCUGGGAGUGCCCAGCUGGUGCCAGUCUGCCCAGCACUGCCCGGCUGUCAGGGUCUUCAGGGGGAUGAAGGCCUCGCCCAGCAGGGUGUUUUCCCAGAACGCACCCUCCCCCAGCACCCGCAGGUGGAUCACCCUCUGCUGCAGGUCCCCGCGAGGGAUACGGUCAUACACCAGCUACGGGGAAAGAGAAGGGACAAAUAAAAUGUUCUCUUCUUGACUUCAUUGUAAGAUGAA